CUCUACCCCUCACCAUCAAAGCAGCGCCUCCUCUCUUCUUCUUUGUCUUCUUCUUCUUCUUCCUUCUUUCUUUUCUUUUCUUUUCUUUUCUUUCUUUUUCUUUCUUUCUUUCCUGCACCUGCGUUUGCAUCACUGCCCAAGAACUCCAGCCGCUCCAGCAAAGGUGAUCGACCACCGAGAGCCACCGCACGCAGCUCGCCGCGCCACCGCCACAGCCCCACUGCUCUCCGAUCCGACACGAGCAAAUUUUCGAUCUAGCAAAAAUUCGACAAAAAAAUAUAUUAGGGGUAUAAAUUAAUUUAACUACAUUUUCGUUAAUUAAUUUAAUUUCAUUAAUGAUUUUAGUUAGUUUAAUUCUAAUAAUUUUAGUUGAUCAAUUUGAUUUUAGUAAUCUUGAGUAAUUAAUUUAAUUUAGUAAUUUUGAUUAGUUAAAUUACUUUACUUUGGCUAGAUCUACUGACUAGUUUAAUUACUUGAGUAAUUAAAUUAAUUUAAAUAGUAUUAAUUUAUUGAUAAAUAAAAUAUUUAGUUAGUAAGUUUUAGUUAUUUAGUUAGUUUAAAAUGAAUUCAAAAUAGUUAUUGAUUCAUUAAUAUGAAGUAAUUAUUGAUUAAUAAAAAUAAUAGUUAGUUAAAAUUAAAUUCAGUAUUAAAUAAUUUAUUAGGAAAUUUUGGUAAUAAUAAAAUUUAUGGAAUUUAAGUGUAGAUUGAAGGUAGAUUAUAUUGUAUGUAAUUUUAAUUUAUAAAUUAUGGAUGUAGGGUGAUGUUAAGAUUGAAUGUAAUGUUGAUAUUGUUAUUCGGAUGGAGGAUGGGAAAAAUUGAAUUGAUUGAUUGCCCGAUGGAUGGGCCGUGUGGUUUGGAAUUAUUGAUAUAUUGUUGACAUUUUAACAGGUAGAUAGUCCAAUUUUUAAGGGAGAUGCUGCCGAAAUUUCGGUAAACAAUAAAAUAAAUUUCAGUAGAAAACAAAAUAAAUUUCGGUAGGAAAUAAAAUAGAUUUCAGAAAAAAAUAAAUGAAAUAAACUUAGAUAGAGAAAUAAAAAUUUAUUACAGAAAAGAAAUUAAAUAUCAAGAUUAAAUUACGUAGAAAAAUUUAGAAUAUAAAAUAAAAAUAUUAGAAGGGUAAAGGAAUAUUUAGUUUGAUAGAGUUAUUUCUUUUUGUAUCAUUCUUACUUUGCUUAGAUCGCCCGGGUCCAUCUAGUGCGCCUCCAGGACAACAUCAAAGCUAGAAUUUCGCUCUCCAUCACAGUGAGUAAUAAUAAAUAAUGCAUAUCAACACUGCAUUUGCAUAACAUUUAUUUAUAAACCUUAUAUUUUUAUUUAUAUAUUUACAAUAUAUUAUAAGUAUUUUAUCAUAUAUAUUAUG
rnacentral:lncRNA from 1 species